rnacentral:rRNA from 1 species
GAGUUUGAUCGUGGCUCAGAUUGAACGCUGGCGGCAGGCCUAACACUUGCAAGUCGAGCGGAUGAAGGGAGCUUGCUCCUGGAUUCAGCGGUGGACGGGUGAGUAAUGCCUAGGAAUCUGCCUGGUAGUGGGGGAUAACGUCCGGAAACGGGCGCUAAUACCGCAUACGUCCUGAGGGAGAAAGUGGGGGAUCUUCGGACCUCACGCUAUCAGAUGAGCCUAGGUCGGAUUAGCUAGUUGGUGGGGUAAAGGCCUACCAAGGCGACGAUCCGUAACUGGUCUGAGAGGAUGAUCAGUCACACUGGAACUGAGACACGGUCCAGACUCCUACGGGAGGCAGCAGUGGGGAAUAUUGGACAAUGGGCGAAAGCCUGAUCCAGCCAUGCCGCGUGUGUGAAGAAGGUCUUCGGAUUGUAAAGCACUUUAAGUUGGGAGGAAGGGCAGUAAGUUAAUACCUUGCUGUUUG